AAGGAUCCGGAAAUUUUUUCACCUAAUUUCGGUCAUUUUCAUAUAACUUAAAAGUUGGUGCCCCUUUUCAAAAACAUUGUCAAAAUCUCAUUACUGCAUGCUUGUGCUCAUACUCGUAGCAUCAACGAACUUGUUUCACUGUUGCAUCGCAUUUACUUCAUGAUUUAUCCUACCAUUUUCCUAAAAUCAAUCAAGAGCAAUUAAGGCCAGAAUUUUUUAAUUUGUUGGUUUACGGAUCCGCCGAUCCGAUUUUGCCGAUUUCCAGAAUAAAAAUAAAAUUCACUUUUCAUGCUUUUUUAUUCCCGCCGACCGUAACAAAUGCAUUAUCCCUAAAAAAUAAUUAAAAUACUCGUUUUUUUAUGAAAUGAAAUGCAUUAAUCACUAUUAAAAUUGAUAACACUUUCUGUAGUGAAAAAAAUAAAACUUCCAGUUUACGUUUCUAAAAAUAGACAAAUCAAUUAUAACUGACCUUGAAAUGUGGUUUGCGCAAAUAAUUUUGCGAAACGAAACCUGUGUUUAAAACCAAUUACAAAAUCAAUUCGUUUACCGUAUUUGUCAUCAGUCCGUAAGAUGCAUCAUCUGAUAGAAAUAGACUUGUCCAAAUGUGGACAGGUAGAAGACGUCAAGUUAAAGUACUAAAUAUUAACAAAUCAUUUGAAAUUUUCUUGCUUCAUAGAUCAUAAAAAAAUAUCGUCCAUUUGGCCAAAAAAACGGGAAUGCAUGACAACAGAUUAAUCCGAUAUUCUCGUUUUUCCAGUGGACGAGUCCAUUACGUUUGUUGACAUGUGUGUUGAAACUUAUUUUCGUACGACGUUUUUACAUUUUUUCUUCUUUAUCAGUUUUCGUGCUUGAAGAUCGUAAUUCACCAAGCCCACCAAGUUAUCGGGAAUUGAUUAAGAGCUACGCGAAUCUGUUUUUCAUGUUUGUGAAAUGACGAUAUCCGUGCAGUCCCCGUCCACUUUUUGUUUACGGGAAAUUAUUAGAAUGUCAUGCGAUGUUUAUGACAGCUGAUUUCAUCGAACUAAAAUCUAAGAAAUGAUGACAAAAUAGCAUAUUUUUUUUUUUUUUUUUUGCCGACCGACCGACCCGACUUUUUCAUUGGUAAAAUCCGUAAACCAACAAAUUAAAAAACCCUGGCCUAAGGGAAGGCAACAGUUUAAAAAUAAAAAGAUUUUAAUGACUCAAAAUGCGAAUUUUCUCAGUCAUCGCUUACGUUUCUUUCGAUUCUGAAGUCGAAAUUCAAACCGGAUGUAAUGCGACAAUACUAAAACGAACAAUUCCGGACUUAUUUCCGGGAUUAGUUUUGUUUAUCAAAUUCACAGGAAAACAUCGUUUUUUUUAAUAUUUUACCUUUAAUAGUGUAAGAAUAUUAAUGAAAAUAGUUGCACUUGCUUUAUUUAGCAAGAAAUCAUUUUAAAUUUACGAUUUAGUGUCAAAUCUGCGGAAGAGAAUUUUAGGCAUGCGUAUCAUAGUAAACAAAGCACGUGUGUUAGUAGUGAAAAAAAUCUUUUUUCUACGUAAAUUAAAUCAAGUUUUAAUUUAAUUUUAAAUCAUAAUUGACAAUUGUCUUAGCUGAAAAGUAAUUAAAUAAUGAAGACAGUUGGUAUUGAAUUUUAAUUUCUUAUAAUAUUAGUUCGGAGCUUGUGAUUAAUAGCCAGGUGUGAAUUAAAAACACAGGUAAAGAGAUUAGCGAUCAUUAGCCAAUAGCUCCCCGAGGCAUUAAUAUAGUUAUUAGGAGGGCCCUCAGGAUUAUAACACUUUACUGGAGUGGCAGUUUAAUUACAUAAAAUCGAUAACAAAACAAAAAUAUGUUUAAAAUGGCGAUUUGAAACUCAAUCUCAACGAAAUGACCGAAAUUAUUUCUGUUGAAAAAUAAAAUUUGACCUAAAUCCCAAUAAAUGAUUUAGGACUUUUGAGUUUUCGAAUCGGUCAUGUCUGGCAUAUAUGACCGUUUCCGGACCCUUGCAUGUAU
rnacentral:lncRNA from 1 species